UUUGACAGUACAGUAUGUAGUCUAUAGGAUGUUUGAGGGGAGGAUAGUGAUACAUUUUUACUUUACAGCGCAUUAGUUGCCAUAAACAUGUUUUAUGCACUUUAGCUUUUUUCAAUAGUCAUUGGUCUAGCCAGAUGUUGCUCUUCUCAUGUGUUCUCUUUUCAGCUUUUUUAGGAAACAGUUUUGGUUUUUCAAUAAACCCUGCUACUACUGAAGAGCUUGUUCAGGAAGAAAGGAAUGUCAAUCUCUCCUGCAAAUAUGAUGGCAAUGUCUACAAUCUCCAGUGGUACCGCCAAUAUCCCAGGUCCAAACCAGAAUUCCUCCUGUACAUCACACCAGAGGGGUCUAUAUUUAAAGCUACUCCCCCACCUCCUCGUCUGACAGUUUCCAUUGACAAAGUGGAAAAACGUGUGGAUCUGAAGAUCUCCUAUGCUGUAGUGACAGACUCUGCUCUGUACUACUGUGCCCUGACGCCCACAGUGACAGGAAACCCAGAAAUACUGUACAAAAACAUGUCAAGUGCCAUGGAAAGAAACCAAUGAGAAGGGGAGGAGCUGCAUCUAGGCAAGAGACGAGUAAAUAUUCAGAGAUAGCCAAGAUUAUGUUUCUGUAUGCAGUGCUGCUGCUCUGCACAUGUGUAGAUGACAGUUUAGAGAAUGAUAUCGCUCCUUUAAGAAAUGAAGUGCAUGGCUUGGAGGGAACCACUGUCAUCGUGUCCUACAACUACUCCUCAACUUCUACAAUUGGAAAUAGAUUCUACUGGUAUCAUCAAACCAGUGCUGGGAAAAUGACAAUAUUCCUUCUAUGGAUGAUGAAUACAGACUUCCAAGAGAAUUGGCCGCCUGGUAGUCUGUUAUAUUGAUACAGAGACCAAACAUCUGGAUCUGAAGAUCUCCUCUGCUGAAGUGCCAUGAAGACCACAGCGACACUACAAAAACCUGUCAAGAACCAUGGGAGGAAACAGACAUCAUGUGUCAGAUGUGAUGACCUCACUCCACUCAAGAAAGAGAUUACUGUUUAGAGGGAACCCCUGUUACUGUCAAUGGUGUGCGUACUGGGAGCGGAGUCAGGUGCAGGAGAGCAGAGAGUUGUGAACAGGAGCACACUUAAUUUAGGCAGGAGAAACCAACAAACGGACGCCACUGCGUCGAAAACCUCCAGCCUAUAUGCCAAAGUGCAAACGCGCAAACAGUCACAAUAAUAUGUACUAGCAAAUAAAUAUACCUCGUGAAAUAAAACACGUAAUUAACGCACACCAGAAAUAGCGCGUCAAACAUGACACAUAACACGAAACAAUCUCACACAAAGACAUGAGAGGG
rnacentral:lncRNA from 1 species